GACGAACGCUGGCGGCGUGCUUAACACAUGCAAGUCGAACGGAAAGGCCCUGCUUUUGUGGGCUGCUCGAGUGGCGAACGGGUGAGGAACACGUGAGUAACCUGCCCUUGACUUUGGGAUAAACUCAGGAAACUGGGGCUAAUACCGGAUAGGAGCUCCUGCUGCAUGGUGGGCGUUGGAAAGUUUUGGCGGUUGGGGAUGGAUUCGCGGCUUAGCAGCUUGUUGGUGGGGUAGUGGCGUACCAAGGCUUUGACGGGUAGCCGGCCUGAGAGGGUGACCGGCGCCAUGGGGCCUAAGGGACGGAGCAGACUGGAACGGGCGGCAGCGGUCGGGAGUAUUACACAGUGAGCGGACGCCUGAUGCAGAGACGUCGCGUGCGGAAUGACGGCCUUCGGGUUAAAAACAGCUUUAGCCUGAGACGUAGCGUGCGUGACGGUAAUUAGUCAAGAAGCACCGGCUAACUACGUG
rnacentral:rRNA from 1 species